rnacentral:miRNA from 1 species
AAAUGCAUUUAGCACCCCCUGGAC